UUUGAAUGAUAUUGAGACCUUCUGUGAACCAUGGCUCAGUGACAUUGAACUUGAAUGUACAACUGAAGUUGUACACCGUCAGGUCUCGCACCAUGGGAUCGAAUCCCCCAAAAGGCUUACACACAACACACUUACAAAGCAUACAAAUUACAUUAUGCAGCCAAAAACAAAACCAACAAGCAACACCAUUCCAUAAACUUCAUCCACAGCCAAUCAGAAAACUGCAAAGUCUACCCUUGAGCAUGCAUAGUUCCAAGUCAUUCAACAGAUCCAUGAAUCUGAUGUCACCCCUUUGCUCCAGACUAACUCUGUCACAACAUAACUCAGAACUGCAUUGUCAGUAAACUUGCAGUCUUUUCCCUAAAGAUAACAUCAUUCCAAAUGAACCAAACCACGGCAUAAGGAAGAAUGGACCAGACUUUCCCGCAAAAAUCUCCUUUGUUCAACUCCGACCAUUCUUCCAUACGCUUUUUCAAAGAUCUCAAGCUGCUGAAUAUUAAAAUCAAAUACAUUAAGAAAUUUAACAAAAAUAAAAGUAAAGAAGAAACCUCAGCAAGCCAGUGCGUUGCUACUCCUACUGCUGCUACUGUAAUUACCUGGAAGGCUCAAACCUUUAAUUUACUGUUGUUGCUUCCUGCUGUUGUCGUACACCUAUCAUCUUGCUUCCAUAAGUUUGUGCCACCCAGUGAGGAGACAUGCAACCCUUAUACUUUGUAUCAACUUAAUUGCAAACUGGCCUAUGUUCAGCUAGUUCUAAAUUACAGUCUUUACUUGCACCACAAUAUUUAUAUUCUCCAGGUCUCUGAAAUAAAACUAACCCGAAGGCAAACAUAAUGAAUAAAACUCCCAUACAACAAUGAAUAAAACUGAUACUUCCUGAAACGCAAUGAAAACAAACUACCAUAAAAUGGAUUGCGGACUAUUACCUAAAGAGUUGUCCUAACUUGCAACAUGUUAAUGUGAUGCCUAUGUACUCGAAAACAUCUACAGUAUUUAGACAAAAUUUAACUCCAAUACUAGGGUCUAAAUUCUCUUCACUACUCAAUUCCAAUAAUUAUUAACUAAUAUGUUAUUGUAGUAAGGAUACCAAUCAAAGCAGACUAUUUAAUAUAACCUGAUAUAGGAUGUAUCUUGAUAUCCAGUGAGCAAAAUAGGGACAAUAUAUCAAGGUAAAAAAUGUUAUGACUUCAUACCAGUAUUGUAGAUGAGAAUUGAUCGAAGAUAAAAACAGUUGAUCAUCCACCUCUUUGUGAUCAAACGGAUGUAGCUGUAUAGAGAUAACUUAAGAUAAAGGAACUUGGUUAAUGGUAUUUUUUUUUUUCUUUAUAAGGAAAAAUCUUGUUAAUUUGUAAAAAGGAUUACAAACUCUAGACAGCUUAUACAAUUUGGUGAAGGUCUAGAAAGGAUCAUUUCUGUAUUUUUCCAUAUAACCCAAAGAACCGCCGCAGGUAGUAGAUUCAAAAUCCACUAAGUAAUUUCUGGUCCUUGCUUCUCCAGCCACGCUACCAACUGAACUGUCUCUAUACAAAAAAUCUUUGAGUAAAUGUCUGGGGAGAAAUAAAAUCGUCCAAAUCUACAAAUUUUUUGUACAAUGCAGAAAAGUGAGUAGUGGAUUCAUUUGACAUCCCACACAUGUAACAGACUGGUGGCAGCGCUUUACCCAUUUUAAUGAGUUUAAUGUACAAAGAAGUAUCUUGAUAUUGAGGGGGGAAGGUCUGUCUCAAACAAUUUUAGUUGGGAAGUGUUGUAGUUGAGUAGAUGGGCCUGUGUUUAGUUUGCACAAUUUGCCAUACAUAGAUUUGACUGAAAACUGACCUGUUCACGACUAAUCUCUAUGUCCAUAAGUCAUCACCCUCCU
rnacentral:lncRNA from 1 species